AUCAGCUUUGAGGAAUAAUUUAUAUCCAACACAAUGCACUUGUAUUCAUUGUAUGAUAUAAUAAAUUUUAUAUAUCCAUGUAGUUACCACCAUAAUCAAGAUACAGCACAUUUCCCUCAACCUGGAUAGCUUCCCUGUGCCCCUUUGGACACAGUCCCCCAGACCCAGACCUCGACCCUCGCCCACCACUGAUCUGCUGUUAUUAUACCUUAGUUUCCCCAUUCCUUGGAUUUCAUAUGAAUGGGAUUUAUAUCACAUAUUCUUGUAUCCGGUUUAUUUUUCUCAAAAUGUUUUUGAGCUUCAUCCUUGUCAUUGCAUGUGUCCCGCUUUGUUCCUUUUAUUGUUCUCUUUCGUUAAAUGGUUACAUUACUUUUUUUUAUCCAUUCACCUGUUGAUGGACUUUUGGGUUGUUUCUGAUUUAUGGCAUUGUGAAAAACACUGAAAAAGACAUUUGUAUACAAGUCAUGGUGUAGACAUGUUUUCAUUUCUCUUGGUUGGAAUUGCUGGGCUGUAUAAGUAUUUGUCUAAUUUUAUGGGAAACAGCCAAACUCUUUUUCCAGCGUGGUUAUAACAUUGUCCACUUCCUUCCACAGUGUAUGAGAGGACUGGUUCCUCCAGACCCUUGCUGACACCAGAUCAGCACUUUUAAUUUUAGGUAUUUUAUUAGGUGUGAAGUGGUAACUCAUUGUGGUUUUGAUUUGCACUUCUGUAAUAACUAAUAAUGUUUAGCAUCUUUUCAUGUACUUUGCCAUUUUUACAUCUUUUAUGACAUGUCUGUUGAAAACUUAGACUUUUUUUUUGCUUGUCUUAUUAUUGAGUUGCAAAGUUCUUUAUAUUUGCUGGAUACAAGUCACCUGUCAGAUAUAUGUAUUAUAAAUAUCUGUAGUUUCUCUUUUCAUUGUUGUAUCUGUUUUUUGAAGGACAGACCUUAUUACUUUUGGUGAGCUAAUUUGUUGUUUUAUCACUUACAGUUUUGGGGUGUUUUUUUUUUUUUUUUUAAUAAAUCUUUGCUUGUCCUGAGGUAUUGAAGAUUUUCUGUGAUUUCAGUUCUUAUAUUCAAACCUGUGACCCAUUUGGAGUUAAUUUUUGUUUAAGGCUUUGUGUGAAGUUUUUUUUCCCCUAUGGAGGAUAUCUAGUUGUUGGAGAACCAUUUUUUGAAAAGAUUGCCCUUUCCCUUUUGACCAGCUAGUUUUGGCAUAUUUCUCACAAUUAAUUGACUGUAGAUGUUUGGAUCUGUUUCUGGGUACUAUGUAGGCCACACCCAAGUUGGUGCAGAAACGAGAAGGGGGACGUAGAUGAGACAGUUUGGGACCAUAAGGAAGAGAAAGGGUUUCUGGGGUUUUAGAGCUCAUCAGCUCCAGCAGAGGAGCAGACACCAUGUUUUCCCACCAGUGAGGGGAGAGGGGUUAGGUAGUCCGUGUGGGGCCAGAGAAGACAGGGGAUUUCCCUGAAACAAAGGGAGUUUUGGCAACUGCUUAGGAAUAUUCCUUAAAGUCUCUGUCCCAAGGAAGACUAACCACAGUUUGUCAAGGAACAAGAAGAGCACCCUUUGGACCUAACACCCCCCCACUCCAGAUUUCCCCACCAGGGUUUCAGGUAAAAAUUGAAAAUGGGGUGGGCCCAAGUGGAACAUAAAUCUGUAUUUGAACUAAGUUAGGUUUGUUGGCAAUUAAGAUAUACACAUCUUUAUUAUUUAUUUAUUUACUUAUUUAUUUACUUGACAGAUGGCAGAGAGAGAGGAGGAAGCAGGCUCCGCACUGAGCAGAGUGCCUGAUGCGGGGCUGGAUCCCAGGACCCUGGGAUCAUGACCUGAACCAAAGGCAGAGGCUUUAACCCACUGAGCCUCCCAGGAGCCCCAAGCUAGACACGUCUUUAAAGUUAUCAGCACUAAAUGUAAAGCUUAUUCUAUUGAGGUUUACUGAAGGUCAAAAAAGCUCAUAUUAUCCUUCUUGGAAUUUGUUAACCAAAAGAUGACUAAACUGAUGGUUAAUUAAUUGUCUCAGAGUUUUCUUGGGUAAUUGUUAAGAUAGCUUUCAAAGUCUUUGGUAACCUGAAAGUUUAAAGUUUUGCUUGGAUGAUAAAUGGAAUUAAAUUUGUUGGACAUCUAAGUCUUUUCCAAAUGGGAGAGAGUGCUAAAUCACUGUUAACUGGGCAUAGGUUUGUGCUUUUGGCUUACUGCAAAGAACUAAGGAUAUUUAAAUCUGUUGGUAACAUGCUUUGUGCUUAACUGAUUCACAAAUUUGCCAUCUAAAGAAUUCUGGUAUAACAGUUUGCCAUUGGUUACUCCUUAGUCUUAACUGGAGAUGAAGGUUUCUAAAGAAUGAAAAAUUCUGCUGACACUAACUAUGACUGAUGGAAAUAAGGGAAACCACUCUGAAUGUGGAAAAGUGGGAGAUAAGUAAGAAAGAUAAGAAAUGGGAAUGCAUUUUUGUUAAAGGUAGAAGAAGGUAAUUUUGUCCGAAAUGAGAUGGUUGAUUGGGAAGAAAUGGCUUGGGACAAAAUCUGAAUGCAAAGGGAAGUUGUAGAAGGUUUAUGGAGGGAAAACUUUGGAAUGGAAUUUUAGAUGUGGUCAGGAUGGACUGAGACUGAAAUGAAUGGAUUUGAAAGUACAUUGUUAGAAGAUUGAAAGUUUGCCUUCUCUCUGUUCAAUAAGACCAAAAGUAUUGUGUGGUUGUUGGUUUGUCUUGAUAAGAAAAUGCAAAUAGUUGUUCUCUCCACCUGCCUAGAAAAAUCGGGUCUUUAACAUCCCUAAUCCUAUGUAGGCAUGUGCUUUAAAACUUUCCAAGGUUUUAACAGACUUCCCCAAGAUUUAAAUCAUGAAUAAAGUCUUGUGGACUAAUUAGGCUUGCUUGCUUGGUAUGUAACAUUCUGGUUCUGGCUAUUGACUUGUUAUGUGGCACAGAAUAACUGAGUUGCCUUAUCAUAGUGAACUCUCCUAUCAGAUGUUCAUUUCUGAGUUUUUUGUUUGUUUGUUUUUGUUUUUUGUCAUUUAUAAUUGUCCUUAUUGUCUUGCAAAAUGAGUUUCAUUUCUGGGAGGUUCAUAUAAAAGACUUUUAGGACAGCACAGGUAUUCAAUAUCUUUAAGAUCAGAACUGAAAUGAAUAAGAAUUUCCAGAACUAAUUAAAGCUGCAUUCAAACUAAACCAGAAUUAGUAACAUGGGACUGAAUGAACUAAGAGAUUAUAGUGUUAUGGCUCUUGUUUGAAACAUGGCUGGUUCUCUAAUGUUUGCUCUUCCAGACUAAGGAAACUUUUUCUUAAGAUGUCUGUGACUUACAGAAAUAUGAAAAUACUCAUUUGUAAACAAAUCAAAGCAUUCAACUUUUCUCUCUACCUGAACCCUCAAAUUCAAAAGGUCUUUGCCCGGGAAACAUUAUGCCUAAGUGUGGUGGAAGGAUCCUUUAACAAAUCAGUGAUCUGGCCCUGAUCCUGUUUUAAUUUGGGGACAAGAGCAUGUGUGUAUCUUUCCUGGGAACGCUGAUGGACCCAUCUGGCUCCUCAAGUGGCUCAUACGCUCCUGCAGUGGAUCACACUCCAGAGGAACUUCUGGAUCCAUCCCAACGCCUCAUCCCGCCGUUCUGGAGGCCGAAGAUACUGACAUACAGCCUUGAUUACUAUAGCUUUUUUCUUCUUUUUUUAAGAUUUUAUUUAUUUAUUUGACAGACAGAGAUCACAAGUAGGCAGAGAGGAAGGCAGAGAGAGAGGAGGAAGCAGGUACUAUAGCUUUUUAAUGAAGUCUUAAAAUUAGAUAGUAAUAAGUCCUUGGGCUUUUUUCUUUUUUGGAAGAUUGAUUUGGCUCUCUCUAGCCCUUCACAUUUCAUGUAAAUUUAGAAUCAGAUUGCCAGUUUUGAGCCUCCUUCCCAAAUAAAGCUCCUGCUGUAUUUUUUUCAUUGGGAUUUUAUUAAAACUAUUAUAUCAAUUUGGAGAGAAUUGAUAUCAUGACAGUUUUUAAAAAAUUUUUAAUUUUUAUUUAAAUUCAAGUUAGUUAGCAUAUAGUGUAUUACUAGUUCGGGGGUAGAGUUUCGUGAUUCAUCGGUUGCAUGUGACACCCCGUGCUCAUUCCAUCAGGUGUCCUCCUCGAUGCCCGUCACCCAGUUACCCCAACCCCUCCCCGCCCAAACCGCAGUUGUUCCUGGCAGCCCUCAGUUUUUUUUCUCCCAUAGUUAAGAGUUUCGUAUAGUUUGCCCCUCUCUCUUCUUAUCCUAUUUGAUUUUUCCUUCCCUUUCUCUGUGCUCAUCUCUUUUUUUUUUAAUUCCACAGAUCAGUGAAAUCAUAUGGUAUUUGUUUUCUCUGACUUAUUUCACUUAGCAUAAUAUACUCUAGUUUCAUCCCCAUCAGGUCUUUAACAUCCCUAAUCCUAUAUAGGCCUGUGCUUUAAAACUUUCUAAGGUUUUAACAGACUUCCCCAAGAUUUAAAUAAUGAAUAAAGUCUUGUGGACUAAUGGCAAGAUUUCAUUUUUGAUGGCUGCAUAAUACUCCUGUGUGUGUGUGUGUGUGUGUGUGUGUGUGUGUGUAUACACAUCGCAUCUUCUUUAUCCAUUCAUCAGUUGACAGACAUCUGGGCUAUUUCCAUAUUUUGGCUGUUGUGGACAUUGCUGCUUCAAAUCCCUAUUUUUGUAUCCUUUGGACAAAUAUCCAGUAGUGCGGUUACUGGGUCAUAGGAUAGUCUUUUUUUUUUAAAAGAGAUUUUAUUUAUCUGUUUGACAGAUCACAAGUAGGCAGAGAGGCAGGCAGAGGGAGAGGGUGAGGGAGAAGCAGGAUCCCUGCUGAGCAGAGAGCCCAACGUGGUGCUCAAUCCCAGGACCCUGAGAUCAUGACCUGAGCUGAAGGCAGAGGCUUAACCCGCUGAGGCACCCAGGUGCCCUAGGAUAGUUCUAUUUUUAACUUUUUGAGGAACCUCCACGCUGUUUUCCACAGUGGCUGUGCCAGCUUGCAUUCCCACCAACAGUGUAGGAGGGUUCCCCUUUCUCAACAUCCUCGCCAACAUCUGUUGUUUCUGGACUUAUUAAUUUUAGCCAUUCUGACCCAUGUGAGGUGGUAUCUCAUUGUGGUUUUGAUUUGUAUUUCCCUGGUGCUGAGUGACGUUGAACGUUUUUUCAUGUGUCUGUUGCCAUUUGGAUGUCUUCUUUGGAGAAAUGUUUGUUCAUGUCUUCUGCCCAUUUCUUGAUUGGAUUUUCUUCCUGAGUGUUGAUUUUGGUAAGUUCUUUAUAGAUUCUGAAUACUAGCCCUUUAUCGGAUAUGUCAUUUGCAAAUAUCUUCUUCCGUUCCGUGGAUUGCCUUUUAGUUUUGUUGACUGUUUCCUUUGCUGUGCAAACGCUUUUUAUCCUGAUGAAUUCCAGUAGUUCAUUUUUGCUUUUGUUUUCCUUGCCUCUGGAGAUGUAUCUAGCAAAAAUUUAUUGUGGCUGAGGUCAGAGAGGUUGCUGCCUGUGUUCUCAUCUAGGAUUUUGACAGAUUUCUGUCACAUUUAGGUCUUUCUUCCCUUUUUAAUUUAUUUUUGCAUAUGGUGCAAGAAAGUGGUUCAGUUUCAUUCUUCUGCAUGUGGCUGUCCAAUUUCCCCAGCAUGAUUUGUUGAAGAGACUGUCUUUUUUUCCAUUGGCUAUUCUUUUCUGCUUUUAUGAAGUUUAGUUGAUCAUAGAGUUGAGACUCCAUAUUUAGGUUCUUUAUUGUGUACCAGUGAUCUAUGUGUCUGUUUUUGUGCCAAUACCAUACUGUCUUGAUAAUUACAGCUUUGUAAUACAACUUUGUAAUAAAAAGUUCAGAACAGUGAUGCCUCCAGCUUUGGUUUUCUUUUUCAAAAUUACUUUGGCUCUUUGGGAACUUUUCUGGUUCUGUGUAAAUUAUAAAAUUGUUCCAGCUCUGUGAAAAAUGCUGGUGUUAUUUUGAUAGGGAUUGCAUUGAAUGUAUAGAUUGCUUUAGGUAGCAGAGACACUUUUUUUUUUUUUUUAAGAUUUUCUUUAUUUAUUUGACAGAGAUCACAAGCAGGCAGAGGCAGGCAGAGAGAAAGAGGGAAACAGACUCCCCGCUGAGCAGGACCCUGAGAUCAUUACGGGAGCCAAAGGCAGAGGCUUAACCCACUGAGCCACCCAGGCACCCAGCAUAGACAUUUUUUUAAAAGAUUUUAUUUAUUAUUUGACCAAGAGAGACACAGCAAGAGAGGGAAAACAAGUAGGAGAGGGAGAAGCAGGCUCCCUGUGGAGCAGGGAGCCCAGUGUGGGGCUUGAUCCCAGGACCCCAGGAUCACAACCCGAGCUGAAGGCAGACGCCCGACAGCUAAGCCACCCAGCUGCCCCUAGCAUAGACAUUUUAACAAUAUUUGUUCUUCCAGUCCCUGAGCAUGGAAUGUUUUUCUAUUUCUUUGUGUCUUCCUCAGUUUCUUUCAUGAGUGUUCUAUAGUUUUCUGAGUACAGAUUCUUUGCAUCGUUGGUUAGGUUUAUUCCUAGGUAUCUUACGGGUUUUGGUGCAGUUGUAAAGGGGACCAGUUCCUUGAAUUUGUCUUUCUGCUGCUUGGUUGCUGGUGUAUAGAAACGAAAUAGACUUUUGUAUGUUGAUUUUAUAUCCUGCAACUUUGCUGAAUUCCUCUAUCAGUUCUAGCAAUUUUUUUGGUGGCAUUUUUCAGGUUUUCUACAUAGAGUAUUGUGUAAUCUGCGUAGAGUGGAAGUUUGAGUUGUUCUUUGCUUAUUUGGAUGCCUUUUAUUUUUGUUGUCUGAUUGCUGACACCAGAGCUUUCAGUGCUAUGUUGAACAACCGUGGUGAGAGUGGACAUCCCGGCUGUACUCUUGAUCUCGGGGGAAAAGCUCUCAGUUUUUUCCCAUUGAGGAUGAUAUUAGCUGUGGGUCUUUCGUAUAUGGCCUUAUUAUUUUGAGGUCCUGUUCCCCCUAUCCCUACUUUGUUGAGGGUUUUUAUCAAGACAGAGUGUGUAUUUUGUCAAAUGCUUUUUCUGCAUCUGUUGAGAGGAUUAUACAGCUCUUACCCUUUCUUUUAUUAAUGCGGUGUGUCAUGUUUGAUUUGCAUGUUGAAUGACACUUUCAGUCCAGGAAUAAAUCCGACGUGUGGUGAAUAAUUCUUUUAACAUACUGUGGGAUCUGAUUACUUAGUAAUCUUGUGGAGAAUUUUUGCAUUCAUGUUCAUCAGGGAUGUUUGUCUGUAAUUCCCCUUUCUAGUGGGGUCCUUGUGUGGUUUUGGAAUCAAGAGAAUGCUGGCCUCAUAGAAUGAAUUUGGAAGUUUUCCUUCCAUUUUUAUUUUUUGGAACAGUUUUGAAGAAAUAGUUAUUCUUUUUUUUUUUUUUUUAAAGGAUUUUAUUUAUGUAUUUGACAGAGAGAGAGAGAUCACAAGUAGGCAGAGAGGCAGGCAGAGAGAGAGGAGGAAGCAGGCUCCCUGCUGAGCAGAGAGCCUGACAUGGGGCUUGAUCCCAGGACCCUGAGAUCAUGACCUGAGCUGAAGGCAGAGGCUUUAACUCACUGAGCCACGCAGGCGCCCCGGGUCUUGUUUUUUAAUCCAUUCUGAUACCUUAUGUAUUUUGAUUGGAGCAUUUAGUCCGUUUGCAUUCAGAGUAAUUAUUGAAGAUAAGAAUUUAGUGUCAUCGUAUUACCUAUAUCAAGCCCAGCUAGUACUCUUGUAAUCGUUUUAAAUUCUAGUUCAGACAUCUUGCUGAUUAAAUCUGUGGCACUGAGUGCUACCUCCUGUUCUUCUUUCCUUUGGGGUGAGUGUUUACAUCUUAAUCAUUUUGUCCAGAAAAGAAAAGAGGAAAGAAAAAGAUAAAACAAAAAACCUAACAGUGGGUUUCAGACAAUACCUGAAAGGAAUUGAGAAAAAUAGGAAAAUAAAUGAAAAAAUUAGAAAAACAUUUUUUGGAGAGAGAGUGUGAGCCAGCGAGGGUCAGAGGGAGCUGGAGCGAGAGGAUCGUAAACAGGCUCCAUGCCCAGCCCCGAGCUUGACGCCCGCGGGGUGUGACCUCAUGACCCUGAAAUCAUGACCCGAGCCAAAAGCAAGAGUUGGGGACUCAACUGGCAGAGCCACCCAGGUGUCUUGGCAGAUGUAAGCCUUCUAAUCCCUGAAUCCCUGAAUACGUCUGUAUUCAGACGUACUGUAUUCAGGGUCUUACUAAAUUGACUUCAGAGGAGCAUAAGGGAACUUUUUGGAGUGAAGGGAAUAUUCUGUGUCAUGGUUAGAGUGGGAGUAACAUGGGAACAUACAAUUAUCAGACCUCACCAAGGUGUACUUUAGAUUCUGUAGUUGACUGUGUAUGAGGGACUGCAGUGAAGUUUGUCUACAGAGUAAUAACAAAAAUUACGUCAGGUAUUACAUUUCUUUCACUGACAUGAUUCCUAACCAUCAGAAUCAUUUGACUUGCGUGUCAUUUGAACAGCUGGUUUGAUGCUGACGGUGCCGCAUUCGUUCACGAACUGUCUUCAUGACGCACUGCCGACCCAGUCCAGGGAGAGAUCUGGCCCCCGGGGCCUGGCAGGAAGGGGAACUGGGCCAGGCGCCGUGAUAGUCAGCAGAGCAUCUGUGUCAGAGAUGAUUACGUGUUCACUACUGUCUCUUUCCUCUUCUUCCCUGGACUCGAGGUCAGACUCCUGGGAGGGUUUACUGGUCAGAGUGUAUGGCCGAGAGACUGAGUUCUGGUUUGUAGAGGGUGAGCAAAAGUGACGUGUGCCUUCCAACUUGGCCCAUAACCAGCGAUCACGUCAGAGCACUCCACGCCCUUUUCCUCUUCAGACUCUUGUUUAGAGACCAGCUGCAGGGCAGGGUUGGGAGCCGUAACCUAAAGACGGCCGAGCCACGGGUUGGAAGGAGCCAUGUCUCCCAGGCAGCGCCCCGACUGGAUCUGGAGAGAAGUUUUCUCUAAUAGCCUCCUUUCAGUCCCAGUUGUAGUCUGCUUCUUUGAUUCUCUCAGCACGCAGUGUGCUCUGGGGAGAUUCUAGAUUCUCAGCUUGGUUGUAGGUAAUAAGGAAAAGCUCAUUCCAUACAGAUGCGUGAGGCAGAGCAGAUCAGGACAACAGAGCGGGCCAGGAGCAGAGAGACUCCACAGGGGAAGGAAGGCCUUGUGGGCGGGGGCAGCGGAGGGAGAUGGGCCCUGGAGUCAGGAAGGGUCCUCGGGGCAUGCCAGCACCCACCAGAGCCUGGCAGAGCUAUUUAAGGAAAUUGAGAAAAAGCUCUACUUACCACAGGCACAGAGGAUUGGGCUGUGGAUGGUGGGUAAAUCAGGGGUUAACAUCUCUGUCAUAUUGAUGAGGAAAUUAAGUUUUAUAGAGAUUAAAAUAUUUGUAUCUAGCCUGGUGCUUAGUUCAUAGUAGAUGCACAGUAAAUAUUUGUUGAAUGAAUGAAUAAUUUACUAGUCUGACACCUUGAAUGCUGAAGCCUUCUACCAGGGAUAGAGAACUUGUCUGUUCGGUGGUGUGUAGAGGAGUAUGGUGCUGGUACCCAGGACGGACACCGCUGUGCUUGCAUACGGUGCUUGGAAAAGGUUUGAGUGUUCGUGUGCUCCCUGCUUGGCCCUCGUCCCUACCAUUCCCGGUUGCCUUACAACUCACGCGGUCUCCACGUUGAGGUCAGCCGUCUGUCUCCUGUGAGCUUGGUUGUGUGGUACCCCUCUUCCACUUCCCCGUCCACAGGUCACCUUCUAGAUGACUCUAGAAGUCAUCUAGGGGCUCUUCCCUAACCUGUCGUUUUGCCUUCUCCCAUAUCUUUCCUGCCACUGCCACCCCAUCCUCUCUCCCCUUCUCUGUCCGCUUAUGUCCCGGAUUUUCUCAUGCUAUUCGGCAUUCUAAGCGAACUUCUUAGGCUACGAAGCCUAAUUACGAGGAGCUGGAAAACCUAAGCCCGGGACAGAGUUGUACCAGGGGUGGCGUCUACAAGUUUGUGUUACGUGUAAAGAGACAUAAAUAUUACUGUACUGUGUGGUUAGUAGACAAAUGAGCAGUGUCUGUAAAUUGUAGUUAACCAACAUGUUACUCUGCUUUUACUGGCUGCAGUUAACUACCUGGGCAUUGAGUCAUUUUAGCGUAUUUUCUUGUCUGAUGAACUAGGAGUUAGAAGGUGUUGUGUCCGUUCUGAACAAAAUAUCCACAGUGGCUGUACUCUUCGUUUCGAAGUAGAAAAAUCCCUUUAUUGAUAUUAUCAAACUAGAAUAGAAACAGCAGAAAACGGAAAUGUGCACACAGACGGGAGCACAGUAAGCCAUGAAGGCGGGUAAGACAGUCACAUCGGAUCGGGUCCUCGCACGUGCAGCCGCAUCGGCCGGGGAAGCCCCGUGGACAUGGCCGGGCUGCGGUCCUGACUGAGGCCUGGGCGGAGGGAGCGUCCCUCCCUCGGCGGAGACUUCGACUCGCCGUCACCAUAGGGGCCACAUUCACAGGAGUGUGUGAGUGGGAAGGAAAGGCAGAGGCAGAGGGAGAAGCAGGCUCCCCACCGAGCAGGGAGCGGAUAUGGAGCCCAUCCCCGGACCCCAGGAUCAGGACCUCAUCUGAAAGCAGACAUUUAACUGACCGAGCCACCCAGGAAUGUAAACAUCGUCGUGUCCGCACAGGCGCCGAACCACGUGCAAGAGCGCUCGAGGCACUGUCAUCCCUGAGAAAGAAACAAAUGUCAGUCGGCAGCGGAACAGACGCCUAAGCUGAGGUAUGGUCACAGAAUGGAAGCUGAUAGGACACAAACGAGUCACACCCCUGCACAGCAACACAGAUGAUACACAGAUGAAUCUGCCAAACCUGAUUUUCUGCGAGAAAGACACCAGGCACAAAAGAUUGCUUGUAGUUUGAUUUCCAUUUAAUUAAGAUCCCAAACCAGCUAAACUGAAUGACUGUCGGACAUCGGGAGGACGGACAUUGAGGGAGGACGGAGGGCGGUGAGUGUCAGAGCGGGGUGAGUAGCAGUCGGCGGACGAUCUGGGCUCUGACCGGCGUGUGCUGCGGGGCCGUUUACUCUGCUUGUUCAGUGAGCUUUACAGUGCUCUUUUGUCACGUUUUGUUACGAUUUUCUCUUUGUAGGUUAUGUUUCCUGAUUCAAAAAGUUUAAAGAAGGUUGGGAUCUUCUAAGGACUGUUUUCCAUGAGAAGAAUUUUCAGCACCAGAAUGAACUUUAAAACCUCCAGUUUGCUUUCUAGGUUCCACACCCAGUGCAGAGUCAAAGGUGGGGCCUGAACUCAUGACCCUGAGAUGAAGACCCGGUCUGAAAUCAAGAGUUGGACGCUCCACCGACUGAGCCCCCCAAAAGCCCCACCGAUAGCCUUUCUCAUCACUGGGAAUAAAGACGGACUUCAUUAGUGUGAGACGAUGGGAUAGCCGUUUGUAAAACACCAUAUAUACCAGGAUAAACUCCAAAUAGAUCAAAGAUUGACAUGUUAAAAAGAACAGAACAAAAACCCAGAUGAGAAUAGAGGUGAAUGCCUUUGAUUCUUGAAGUGGCAAAGACCCUUCUUAAUAUAUUGCUCAAAAUCCAAAAGCUGUGAAAGAAAAUAUUGACACAUUCAAUUACUGAAAGAUAAGGCCGGGUAGCAACAUUUAUCAAAGUUAAAAGACAAAGGACUAUCUGAGAAAACGCCUGAUACAAAGGGCUCAGCUCUCUGAUACAGACACGGAGCUUCCAAAACCAACGCGAACUAUUGUUUUAUACAUUGUGUAUCACGUACCUGUGGGAGGAGAUGGCCACAGGUCCAGGACAGACUGCUAGGUGAACAGCGGUAGAGAACUUGUAUGCGUUCUCCUGUGAGAAGACAAGGAAGAAAAGUAUGUUCUGUUUCUGUUUCCAUAGACACUGGAAAGGGAACUGGGUGGCCAAGGUCAGUGACGUGGAAGUGGACUUCUCAGUGUGGAUCUCUCCACGUAAUUUUGAUUUUUGUAGCAAACUAUUUAUUUUAAAAUGAAAUAAAAUGGAUGGUGACCAGUUAGAGUUGAAGUCCACUCACAUUUCUGUCUUUAGGCAUUUGUAUUUAAGAUUCCGUGACGAUGAUUUUACUGUAAACUGCAGCUUGCAGUGUUGCUGUUUACCCCGGAAUCCCACUCCUGGAAACCCAUUCUGAGACACCCUUGGAAAUGACCAUGUAGUUUUUGCUAAAUAAAAUUUUAAGUCCAGCA